rnacentral:rRNA from 1 species
CGUAGGGUGCAAGCGUUAUCCGGAUUUAUUGGGCGUAAAGGGCGCGCAGGCUGCCACCAGCAGUGGCCCGUGGAAUCUCUCCGCUUAACGGAGAGGGGCCGGGCCAAACGGGGUGGCUUGGGGCAGGCAGAGGCAUGCAGAACGGGCGGAGUAGGGGUGAAGUCCGUAGAGACCGUCCGGAAUACCAGUGGCGAAGGCGGCAUGCUGGGCCUGAAGCCGUAAGGCUGAACCCGACGCUCGGGCGCGAAAGCGUGGGGAGCGAACGGAAUUAGAUACUCCGGUAGUCCACGCCCUAAACGAUGGCAACUCGGUGUCGGGGGUAUCGACCCCCCCGGCGCCCCAGCUAACGCGGUAAGUUGCCCGCCUGGGGACUACGGCCGCAAGGCUA